UCAUGCCGCAGACACGACGAGACAGAACAAGAGGCAAACUGAAACUGUCGAGAUACUAUCAGUGUAUGAUAAUAAUGUGAUUCUGAAGUGCUUUCGAUGCAUUUCACUUCCGAUACUGCAUUCCAAUUGGAUUCAACUAUCUAUCAGGACUGCAUCAAUCACACCACAGAGGCUGUCCAUCAUAUCGAUCACACUACCAAUAUCCAUGAGCAAACAAAUCACGACAUAUCAAAUAUUUUGUUCAAACCUAUGUAAACAGUACAUUCAUUUAAAUAUAACUCAACACGCUCUUUCGUAUGUAAAGACCGUGCGAAAAUCGGCACAGGACUCGAGAGAAUUUUCAAGGCGCCUGGCUGUCGCAAUCGAUGCUCGCUGUAUAUAGGUCGCAAUAAGAUAGAUGGACGACGAUGACGUAGGCACAUGCAAAAAGUUCGCUUAAGUAACACAGGGAUGCUAUUGGUCCUUCGCCCACGUGAAUCCCUUGGAUCAAUCGCGUGUGUGUAUCCAGGCCAGAGUUUCUUAAAUCAUCGCGCCAGGACGAGAACUAUUUUCGUGCAAACAGCUCCGUCCUUGAGCCUUGAACUUUGUUUUCAGCGAAGGAAAGUAUGCUAUCAUGUUGAUGAUGCUGUUUACGUUGCAUUGCACGAAUUGUUUCCCCGAUCGCGGUUGGAACUAUGCUCCGAAUUUUUUUCUAUAUGCUGUUAUAAGAGUUUCAUCAUAUAUUAUGUCACUCCCAUGUAAGAUGUUACGUAAGGUCCACGUAAAACAGUUAAAAGAGUGAUUUUUUUUUCUUUUUGCUCUAUUUUAUUUUGCUUGCAGAUAAGAAAAUAUUAUUAAUGAAAGUUUGUAUUGCGUGUUUUACGUACGGUCUUAUAAUAACGUAUUUCUUGCACAUAUGUGCAAUGAAAAUGAACUGUUAUCAGUCAUUUACAAUUGUUGUUAAGCAUAUUCCAUUCGAUAAAACUCGAUCGAUUUCAUUUUUUUAUUUUAUGGAAGUUAGAUAUUUACAAAACCAGUUUCCAUCGAUACUGGUUAGAAAGUAGUAAUUGCUAUUCAACAUCCUUCGUUAACUGACGGAAUUAAGCAAUUCGCGAUUGUGUGAUCUACAAAUUAUUUCAUUUACAACUUCAAAUGAUAAGCCAUAAAAAU